rnacentral:rRNA from 1 species
UGCCUAGGAAUCUGCCUGGUAGUGGGGGAUAACGUUCGGAAACGGACGCUAAUACCGCAUACGUCCUACGGGAGAAAGUGGGGGAUCUUCGGACCUCACGCUAUCAGAUGAGCCUAGGUCGGAUUAGCUAGUUGGUGGGGUAAAGGCUCACCAAGGCGACGAUCCGUAACUGGUCUGAGAGGAUGAUCAGUCACACUGGAACUGAGACACGGUCCAGACUCCUACGGGAGGCAGCAGUGGGGAAUAUUGGACAAUGGGCGAAAGCCUGAUCCAGCCAUGCCGCGUGUGUGAAGAAGGUCUUCGGAUUGUAAAGCACUUUAAGUUGGGAGGAAGGGCAGUAAGUUAAUACCUUGCUGUUUUGACGUUACCAACAGAAUAAGCACCGGCUAACUUCGUGCCAGCAGCCGCGGUAAUACGAAGGGUGCAAGCGUUAAUCGGAAUUACUGGGCGUAAAGCGCGCGUAGGUGGUUCAGCAAGUUGGAGGUGAAAUCCCCGGGCUCAACCUGGGAACUGCCUCCAAAACUACUGAGCUAGAGUACGGUAGAGGGUAGUGGAAUUUCCUGUGUAGCGGUGAAAUGCGUA